UUUUAAGCUUUUGGAAAGCUUCAAUAGGUUGUUAUUUCCUUCUGCUUCUAGUUAGCCGUUACAGUUGUGCUGUUUUGAUGUGAGCUGACUUUGUGAGGACCAUUCCCAUAACUUUUACACCUCUCUCCAGAGUGUUGACAGAAGCCUUUGUAGACUGGGAGAAUUGCUGAGGCAGAAUACCUUCUUCACACUGAGCAAGACCUUCACAAAGUGCAGCAAAUCUCUCAUAAACCACUGACUGCAGAAAGAGGACGGCAGCAUCCUGUCUACGUUCCUUUCUCCCUAAUAGUUUAGCAUUUUGGUAUCAACAUCUUGGGACAACACAAGAAGAAAAGAAAAGCUGAUUUCUGAAGAAGGCAAGCUCAGCUACAAUCCUCUCACUUUGUGUAGAUGUCCCCGAAGACUGCUUCAUAUUUGAGACAUAGAUGUUGAAGAGAGGUUUCUCAGCACACUGCAUGUAAUUCAAUGUUUUUCAAUCAGUGUUUUUCCUUGUCUUCUGUACUUUGUAUUUCUCUCACCUGGAUAUUUCAACUCAU